AUGGCCUCCUGUAGAUGCAUUGUCUGGUUUCUCUGUCUCCACACCUUCUUUUGCUGCCUGCCAUUAGCCAUCAGCGAUGAAACCAAGAAUGACAGACAAGCUCUCCUUUGCUUCAAGUCCAAGCUCUCAGGUCCAAGCAGAGCUCUGGCAUCAUGGAGCAACGCGUCCUCGGACCACUGCAGCUGGCACGGGAUCACCUGCAGUGCGCUGCCUCCUCGCCGUGUCAUUGCACUCGACCUCGAAUCCGAGGGCAUCGCUGGCUCCAUAUCCGCUUGUGCCGCCAACCUCACCGCUCUUAGAAGGCUCCAACUAUCAAACAACAGCUUCCACGGCGGCAUACCGUCCGAGCUCGGCCUCCUGAGCCGACUCGCCGACCUCAACCUCAGCAUGAACAGUUUGGAAGGUAACAUCCCACCUGAACUCUCUGCAUGUUCCCGACUCCGAAUCCUUGGUUUGUGGAACAACUCCCUCCACGGAGGGAUCCCUCCUAGCCUUGGCCAAUGCAAGCGUCUUCAGGAGAUUAACCUUGGCAACAAAAAGCUCCAAGGGGGCAUCCCUUAUGCUCUUGGGAAUCUUCCUGAGCUGUGCAUGCUAGUUCUCGCUCGCAACGGGCUUACCGGCAACAUACCGCCGUCUUUGGGCAGCAGCCUUUCUCUCACAUACGUCGAUAUUGGGACGAAUGGUCUGAGAGGGGUCAUCCCAGAGUCCUUAGCAAACAGUUCAUCUCUCCAAGUACUUAGGCUCACGAGAAAUAAUCUUACUGGGGAACUCCCAGAGACUCUCUUCAACACUGCACCACUUGUUGCCAUCUGCCUCCAAACAGAACAGCCUCGUCGGUUCCAUACCUCCUGUAACGGCGAUAAACUCCCAAAUUAA
rnacentral:rRNA from 1 species